rnacentral:rRNA from 1 species
GACGAACGCUGGCGGCGUGCUUAACACAUGCAAGUCGAACGGAAAGGCCCUGCUUUUGUGGGGUGCUCGAGUGGCGAACGGGUGAGUAACACGUGAGUAACCUGCCCUUGACUUUGGGAUAACUUCAGGAAACUGGGGCUAAUACCGGAUAGGAGCUCCUGCUGCAUGGUGGAGGUUGGAAAGUUUCGGCGGUUGGGGAUGGACUCGCGGCUUAUCAGCUUGUUGGUGGGGUAGUGGCUUACCAAGGCUUUGACGGGUAGCCGGCCUGAGAGGGUGACCGGCCACAUUGGGACUGAGAUACGGCCCAGACUCCUACGGGAGGGAGCAGUGGGGAAUAUUGCACAAUGGGCGGAAGCCUGAUGCAGCAACGCCGCGUGCGGGAUGACGGCCUUCGGGUUGUAAACCGCUUUCGCCUGUGACGAAGCGUGAGUGACGGUAAUGGGUAAAGAAGCACCGGCUAACUACGU